rnacentral:misc_RNA from 1 species
GAUGAAGAACGUAGGGAAAUGCGAUAAGUAAUGUGAAUUGCAGAAUUCAGUGAAUCAUCGAAUCUUUGAACGCACAUUGCGCCCCUUGGUAUUCCGAGGGGCAUGCCUGUUCGAGCGUCAUUAUAACCCCUCAAGCUCAGCUUGGUGUUGGGGCCUGCCGCACGGGCAGCCCUUAAAAUCAGUGGCGGUGCUAUCUGGCUCUAAGCGUAGUAAUUCUUCUCGCUAUAGAGUCCCGGUGGAUGCUUGCCAUUAACCCCCAAUUUUCUAUGGUUGACCUCGGAUCAGGUAGGGAUACCCGCUGAACUUAAGCAUAUCAAUAAGCGGAGGA